GGACCCACCAAACGGAGGCCUGCCCAGGACCCAGCUUUCUAAACCAGGCAGGUUGCAAUUAGGGCAAGCACCUGUCCAGGACGCCUGCUUCCCACGCUCCGACGCAGCCUUAGCCCCGCCCCCCCACGCGAGAAAUCAGGAGCGGCUCGCCCUAUAAGGAAAUUCCCCGCCUCCCAGCCCAUCAUGCCUUGCUGCUGACUUCCGGUUCUCCAGCGGUAUAAAGCGGCGGCUCCGGGCCAAAUUUCAGGAGAAGCGUUGGUGCGAGCCUCUUGGCUCUUCUGACCUGGGUCGUUUUCCCUGGAAUAAAUGGUGUCAGACUCGUUACUAAAUAGUCUGACAACAAGAGGGGACGAGCCCAUGGCUGCCGAAGGUUCCAGGUCAGCCCCCAGAGCCCGGUGAAGCCACUCUACCUUCCGCUCGCUCUUCGCGUCAUUAUUUCCAAACUUCAAGGACAGAGAUCCUCUAGGAUUCUACCCAGUAUUGAGCUUGCAUUCCUGUUGGACUGCACGUGGAGCACUGCAGGGAGAAGAUUUUUUUUUUUUUAAGAUUUUAUUUAUUCAUGAGAAUACACACACACAGAGAGAGAGAGAGAGAGAGGGGCAGAGACACAGGCAGAGGGAGAAGCAGACUCCACACAGGGAACCUGAUGUGGGACUCGAUCCGGGGACUCCAGGAUCACACCCUGGGCCAAAGGCAGGUGCUAAACCGCUGAGCCACCCAGGCUGCCCUGUAAAUUUAUUUAGAGACCGAUUUAGUUGCAAAGACUUCAAUUCCAACCAGAAAGCAAGUGAGAAAUUACUCUUUGUUGAGUAUUCCCCAAUUUUGUAUUGUCUAUUUCAGCAUACUGCGAUACUGUAG
rnacentral:lncRNA from 1 species